AGCGCAGGCGGGAAACUAAGCGGAUCUUAAAAGUAGCGGGGCUCAACCCCGUGAUGGGGUCCGAACUGGUUUUCUUGAGUGCAGGAGAGGAAAGCGGAAUUCCCAGUGUAGCGGUGAAAUGCGUAGAUAUUGGGAAGAACACCAGUGGCGAAGGCGGCUUUCUGGACUGUAACUGACGCUGAGGCUCGAAAGCUAGGGUAGCGAACG
rnacentral:rRNA from 1 species